AUUUUUGGCUUCAAAUCUUUAUUUUUAAGGUUAAAAGGUUUGGUUGCUCUUUAUAGCUUCAAGCACCAAGGUUCGAAGAUAGUCGGAUCUUAGGUAAAGGUGCUUCCUCCUAUUCAUCUUAUGGUAGGUUUACCAAAACACCCCAUGACAGUAUACAUGCCAGAGUCACUCCACUAAUAGUCAAGGUCUUUUGUAUGUGUAUGUGGCUAUUUAAAUGUAAUUUAUGAGAUUUUGGAUGAAAAAUUGUUCACUCAGUGUUGCACCCAUUGUGAAGGGUGAUAGGUUCAAUUUGAACCAAUGUCCCAAAAAUGAUCUUAAAAGGGAAAGUACGAAAAGUAUUCCAUAUGCUCCAAUUGUUGGAAACUUAAUGUAUGCUCAGGUGUGUACUAGAGUAGACAUUGCAUUUGCGGUUGGAAUGUUGGGAAGAUAUCAAAAUAACUUAGGAUUAGAUCAUUGGAAAGCUUUAAAGAAGGUUAUGAGGUACUUUCAAGGAACUAAAUAUUUCAUGCUUACAUAUGCAAGAUUCGACAAUCUGCAAGUAGUUAGAUACUCAGAUUUAGAUUUUGCUAGUUGUGUUGACUCUUGUAAAUCAACAUCUGGAUAUAACUUCAUAUUUGAUGGAGGAGCUAUAUCUUGGAGAAGUGCUAAGCAAUCCCUAAUUGUUGCUUCUACCAUGGAAGCAAAGUUUGUUUCUUGUUUUGAGGCAACAUCAUAAGGCAUUUGGUUAAAGAGUUUCAUAUCUGGGCUACAAAUUGCUAAGUCUAUCGAGAAGCCAUUAAAGUUGUAUUGUGACAAUUCAUCGGUUGUGUUCUUUGCUAAGAACAAUAAGAGUGGAAGUCGAAGUAAACACAUCGGCAUUAAAUACUUACCUGUCAAAGAGCACAUAAAAGCAAAUAAAGUGCUCAUUGAACACAUUCACAUUAAGUUUAUGAUUGCAGAUCUUCUGACAAAAGGCAUGCCACCAAAGUUGUUUAAGGAUCACGUUUCGCUAAUGGGACUUAGUUCUAUCUUGUCAUAUACUAUUUGAAUUGAGAUGCUAGCAUGUUAUAUUGUGAA